rfam:Phytophthora ramorum strain Pr102 Scaffold84 genomic scaffold, whole genome shotgun sequence.
AUCCUGGUGUUUUUCAACACCACCCAUUUCCAGAGGAAAGAGCACG